rnacentral:misc_RNA from 1 species
UUUUAGGGAGACCCGACUCAAUUCAAAAGUCAAAAUUCAAAGUUCAAAAACAAGAAAGAGUUUUUUGAAAUUUGGAUUUAUCAUAAAACUUUGAAUUGGUUUUAUCCCGAGGUCGAUCAUUAGUCAACAGUGCAAGCUUUCAAACUAUUUUUGGUUCACUUCAAUUGUCUAACAUAUACUUACAAUAAAAAAAUUAAUUUGUUACCUCUGGAUAACAGACUAAACUUAUUAAUUUUUCAAAUAAUAAAUAGAUUUGUUGCUUAUUGACAGUAUUUAUAAGCUAGUAAAGUUUCAGCAUCUUGUGGGCGAAAGCAAGAAUGCUGGAAAAUUUCCAGCAAAAGAACCUUGAAAACUGCAUAGAAACGCGAAAAAUGUCAGGUAGUUAACUGUUAUUAACAGUUAACACUCCAAGCAAAAACAGCAAUGAUUGUUUGU